ACGCUCGACACCUACGGGAGGCAGCAGUGGGGAAUAUUGCACAAUGGGGGAAACCCUGAUGCAGCGACGCCGCGUAUAGGAAGAAGGUUUUCGGAUUGUAAACUAUUGUCGUUAGGGAAGAAAAAAGACAGUACCUAAGGAGGAAGCUCCGGCUAACUACGUGCCAGUAGCCGCGGUAAUCUGAGCGGGCUGGACAAGGC
rnacentral:rRNA from 1 species